GGAUUAGGCAUGCAAGUCGGACGGUAGGGCUUUAUCGUAAGAUAGAGUUUGAGAGUGGCGAACGGGUGAGUAACACGUAGGAAUCUACCCUUAAGACGGGGACAACCCAGGGAAACUUGGGCUAAUACCGGAUGAGAGUGCGAGAGAUUGCAUUUAAAAGGAUGGCGAAAGUUGUCGCUUAGGGAUGAGCCUGCGGUCUAUUAGUUAGUUGGUGAGGUAAGAGCUCACCAAGGCGAUGAUAGAUAGGCGGCCUUAACGGGUGGUCGCCCACACUGGGAUUGAGAUACGGCCCAGACUCCUACGGGAGGCAGCAGUCGAGAAUAGUCUACAAUGGCCGGAAGGCUGAUAGUGCGACGCCGCGUGAACGAGGGAGCCCUUCGGGGUGUAAAGUUCUUUUCUAUACGAGCAGUGCUAUAUAUAUGGAUAGUAUAUAUAGAGGGAUAGUAGUAUAGGAAUAAGCAACGGCUAACUCCGUGCCAGCAGCCGCGGUAACACGGGGGUUGCGAGCGUUGUCCGGAAUUACUAGGCGUAAAGGGCAGGUAGGCGGAUCUACGAGUUUUUUGUUAAAGGCUACGGCUCAACUGUAGUAGAGCAGGAGAUACUGUAGGUCUGGAAUGCGGUAGGGGAAGACAGAAUUCCUGGUGUAGCGGUGGAAUGCGCAGAGAUCAGGAGGAAUACCGAAGGCGAAGGCAGUCUUCUAGGCCGUAAUUGACGCUUAACUGCGAAGGUGUGGGGAUCAAACAGGAUUAGAUACCCUGGUAGUCCACACAGUAAACGAUAAUCACUAGAUGUCGGGUUCUAGAUGGAUUCGGUGUCGGGGCCAACGCGAUAAGUGAUUCGCCUGGGGAGUACGAUCGCAAGGUUGAAACUCAAAUGAAUUGACGG
rnacentral:rRNA from 1 species